AAUAUUGGAUAAUCGGCGAAAGCCUGAUCCAGCCAUGCCGCGUGCGUGAAGAAGGUCUUCGGAAGGUAAAGCACUUUAUGGUGGGAGGGAGGAGUUGAAGCUAAUACCUGCAAUCAUGGACGGUACCAACAGAAUAAGCACCGGCUAACUCUGUGCCAGCAGCCGCGGUAAUACAGAGGGUGCAAGCGUUAAUCGGAAUUACUGGGCGUAAAGCGCGCGUAGGUGGUUCAGUAAGAUGGAAGUGAACUCCCCGGGCUUAACCUGGGAACUGCUUUCAUAACUGCUGAGCUAGAGUACGGUAGAGGGUAGUGGAAUUUCCUGUGUAGCGGUGAAAUGCGUAGAUAUAGGAAGGAACACCAGUGGCGAAGGCGACUACCUGGACUGAUACUGACACUGAGGUGCGAAAGCGUGGGGAGCAAACA
rnacentral:rRNA from 1 species